UACGGGGGGUGCAAGCGUUGUUCGGAAUUACUGGGCGUAAAGGGCUCGUAGGCGGCCAACUAAGUCAGACGUGAAAUCCCUCGGCUUAACCGGGGAACUGCGUCUGAUACUGGAUGGCUUGAGAUUGGGAGAGGGAUGCGGAAUUCCAGGUGUAGCGGUGAAAUGCGUAGAUAUCUGGAGGAACACCGGUGGCGAAGGCGACAUCCUGGACCAACACUGACGCUGAGGAGCGAAAGCCAGGGGAGCAAACGGG
rnacentral:rRNA from 1 species